CAUGCUUAAUGCAAUCACUUUGGCUGCUUAUUUACUGGCUGUUUGGCUUAAUGCCAACUCAAGGAAGGUUUACUUCAGACCUUUGCAAGACCAGUCAGAAGAAUCUUGAAGGAUAAAGGAAAAUCUGUCCUCUUCAACGCUAGCCCAAGGAGGUCAGGAUAAAAGCAGGGAGGAAGGUGAACAGCAUGCCCUUCACAGAGCCGUCAAGGAGCAGCACCUUCUGGAGGGUGCUGCUGAGCCUUCUUGCAUUUGCUCCCGGCAGCGGGGGCUCCAUCCAUCUCCUCUCUCGGGAGCCCUGGAAGCCUGGGAGCCUGAUCCAGUGUGAAUGAAAGGAUGUAGUGGUCAUGAACAGAUUCGUGUCCAGAACUGCACUGAAGAGAAUGGACUCUGCUAGAUACUGGUGUGCAUUGGGGCUGGAUGAGGCAGCUAUCCCAAGCAUAUUAAAGACACAUUUCUUGCUAGAAAGAAAGAAGAAAGAAAGAAAGAAAGAAAGAAAGAAAGAAAGAAAGAAAGAAAGAAAGAAAGAAAGAAAGAAAAAGGAAGAAAGGAAAAAAGGAAGAAAGAAUCUCUAAGGCCAAAUCGAUAGGGACUGGAGACCGAAGUAGACAUAGAAGAAGCAUCUGAUGGGGAAGUGGUACAUACAAGGCAAAAGAGGUGACAGGAGAAGAAGCAAUAUUCUGACAAAUCAGGUCACACUCUGUUUAAAAUCACCAGUGAAAUGACAAAACUCCGAAAGAAGCAUCUUUUCCUCAGAGAUGAGCAAGAAGGAGAAGACAGAGAACCAAGCACUGUGUUAAAUUCUGGGCAUUACCUUGAAGAAACCCCAUGAGAGUAUGGCUCUUACAGAGUUUAUCUUCUGGGAAAAGAGAUAAGACAAUGAAUAUGUAAAAGUAAAAUAAGAAAAUGAUGCCAGGUUGAAACUUGUAUCCUAAGGGCUGGAUAAGGAGAAUUGAAAAUGACAAGUAUAUAGGUAAAUAUAAAAG